rnacentral:rRNA from 1 species
UACGGAGGGUGCGAGCGUUGUCCGGAAUCACUGGGCGUAAAGGGUGCGUAGGCGGUUGUUUAAGUCUGUCGUGAAAUCCCCGGGCUCAACCUGGGAAUGGCGAUGGAUACUGGCGAGCUAGAGUGUGUCAGAGGAUGGUGGAAUUCCCGGUGUAGCGGUGAAAUGCGUAGAGAUCGGGAGGAACAUCAGUGGCGAAGGCGGCCAUCUGGGACAACACUGACGCUGAAGCACGGAAGCGUGGGGAGCAAACAGG